UACGGAGGAUUCCAAGCGUUAUCCGGAAUCAUUGGGUUUAAAGGGUCCGUAGGCGGUUUGGUAAGUCAGUGGUGAAAGCCCAUCGCUCAACGGUGGAACGGCCAUUGAUACUGCCAGACUUGAAUUAUUAGGAAGUAACUAGAAUAUGUAGUGUAGCGGUGAAAUGCUUAGAGAUUACAUGGAAUACCAAUUGCGAAGGCAGGUUACUACUAAUGGAUUGACGCUGAUGGACGAAAGCGUGGGUAGCGAACAGG
rnacentral:rRNA from 1 species